rnacentral:lncRNA from 1 species
UCACAAGUCAGAGAGAGAGAAACUGUUAAGAUGUUUUAUUUAAAAAGGAAAAAAAAUCUUACAACCUCAAACCUUUCCAGUGUCUUCACACCCAAAAUGGAACCCAAAAUGGAACCCUAUUAACAAGGACUCUGGUCAAAAGUAACACACUAUAAAAGGAAUAAGGUGCUAUUCCGGAAUACACACACUGUAUGCAUUGCAUUCACUUCCAUGGCAACUAAAGUAAAAAAAAAAGUAAAAAAACUAUUAUAUACAUCUCUAAAGAGUGACUUAAAUCAAAGUGAUUCUAUGGCUCGACGCAGUGAGACACUGUGUACACGUAAUAGGGUCCGGGUCAAAAAUAGUGCCCUACAUAAAGAGAAUAGGGUGCCAUUUGAGGGGAUGUACAAUCCUUUACAGCUAGACCUCCUGCUUUGCUUCAGCAGAGGAGGAGAGUAGAUACCUGAGUAGCUUUAGGUACGAUCACCCGCGUACGGCGUACCCAAACGGAUCACCCGCGUACAGCAUACCCAAACUGAUCACCCGCGUACAGUAUACCCAAACUGAAAACCCGCGUACAGUAUACCCAAACUGAUCACCCACGUACAGUAUACCCAAACUGAUCACCCGCGUACCCAAACUGAUCACCCGCGUACAGCAUACCCAAACUGAUCACCCGCGUACAGCAUACCCAAACUGAUCACCCGCGUACGGCAUACCCAAACUGAUCACCCGCGUACAGUAUACCCAAACUGAAAACCCGCGCACGGCAUACCCAAACGGAUCACCCGCGUACAGCAUACCCAAACGGAUCACCCGCGUACAGCAUACCCAAACGGAUCACCCACGUACAGUAUACCCAAACUGAUCACCCACGUACAGCAUACCCAAACUGAUCACCCCGCGCACGGCAUACCCAAACGGAUCACCCCGCGUACAGCAUACCCAAACUGAUCACCCCGCGUACAGCAUACCCAAACUGAUCACCCCGCGUACAGCAUACCCAAACUGAUCACCCCGCGUACAGCAUACCCAAACUGAUCACCCCGCGUACAGCAUACCCAAACGGAUCACCCCGCGUACAGCAUACCCAAACUGAUCACCCCACGUACAGCAUACCCAAUCUGAUCACCCCACAUACAGCAUACCCAAACUGAUCACCCCGCGUUCAGCAUAGCCAAACUGAUCACCCGCGUCCAGUAUACCCAAACGGAUCACCCGCGUACAGCAUACCCAAACUGAUCACCCGCGUCCAGUAUACCCAAACUGAUCACCCCGCGUACAGCAUACCCAAACUGAUCACCCCGCGUACAGCAUACCCAAACUGAUCACCCCACGUACAGCAUACCCAAACUGAUCACCCCACGUACAGCAUACCCAAACUGAUCACCCCACGUACAGCAUACCCAAACUGAUCACCCCGCGUACAGCAUACCCAAACUGAUCACCCCGCGUACAGCAUACCCAAACUGAUCACCCCGCGUACAGCAUACCCAAACUGAUCACCCCACGUACAGCAUACCCAAACUGAUCACCCCGCGUACAGCAUACCCAAACUGAUCACCCCGCGUACAGCAUACCCAAACUGAUCACCCCGCGUACAGCAUACCCAAACUGAUCACCCCGCGUACAGCAUACCCAAACUGAUCACCCCACGUACAGCAUACCCAAACGGAUCACCCCGCGUACAGCAUACCCAAACUGAUCACCCCGCGUACAGCAUACCCAAACUGAUCACCCCGCGUACAGCAUACCCAAACUGCAUAUGAUGGUCUCCCCUCCUGAAAUGAGACAACUAAUAACAUGAGAUGAAAAAAAAGUCUUACUCACAUAAAAUAUAUAUAUAUAUAUAUAAAAAGGCGUAUACAAAAUAUACAAGAGGGGGUAACAUUUGAAUGCAUGAUUUUCUUUUUAGAAAAUAUGAAGUGUGUACAAUGCAAGGUUAGUCAGAAUUAAGAAAGUGCUCAGUAUUUUGGCUGGGAACUCACAGCCUUUAUCCUGUCGGUAAUAAUAUAAACAAUAUUGUUUACCAAACGUGUUACAUUUAGUGGGGAGGGAACCUAGCUGUUAUUGGUAGAGAGGGUCAGUGGGGGAGGGAACCCAGCUGUUAUUGGUAGAGAGGUUCUGAGUGGGGGAGGGAACCUAGCUGUUAUUGGUAGAGGGGGUCUGAGUGGGGGAGGGAACCUUGCUGUUAUUGGUAGAGAGGGUCUGAGUGGGGGAGGGAACCUAGCUGUUAUUGGUAGAGAGGGUCUGAGUGGGGGAGGGAACCUAGCUGUUAUUGGUAGAGAGGGUCUGAGUGGGGGAGGGAACCUAGCUGUUAUUGGUAGAGAGGGUCUGAGUGGGGAGGGAACCUAGCUGUUAUUGGUAGAGAGGUUCUGAGUGGGGGAGGGAACCUAGCUGUUAUUGGUAGAGAGGGUCUGAGUGGGGGAGGGAACCUAGCUGUUAUUGGUAGAGAGGGUCUGAGUGGGGGAGGGAACCUAGCUGUUAUUGGUAGAGAGGUUCUGAGUGGGGGAGGGAACCUAGCUGUUAUUGGUAGAGAGGUUCUGUGGGGGAGGGAACCUAGCUGUUAUUGGUAGAGAGGGUCAGUGGGGGAGGGAACCUAGCUGUUAUUGGUAGAGAGGGUCUGAGUGGGGGAGGGAACCUAGCUGUUAUUGGUAGAGAGGGUCUGAGUGGGGGAGGGAAACUAGCUGUUAUUGGUAGAGAGGUUUGGAACUCCCAUUUCGGUCUAUUAACUAAAUUACAAGGCUAAACCUCCAUCAAAACAAAAACAGGCUGAUAUUUCAGGUGUUCUUUUCAAUCAGCUCUUACACUAAAAGGGCAUUAUCAGUAUUGUCACAAUAUUAAUCAAACCUCAGUGUGGAAAUAUAUACAAAACAAAGGAAAAUCUAGUUUUUGACUGCACUGGGCCUUUAAAAAGUAAUUCAUAUACAGUUCAGAGCUACAGAGUACUAUACAGUUCAGAGCUACAGAGUACUAUACAGUUCAGUACUACAGAGUACUAUACAGUUCAGUACUACAGAGUACUAUACAGUUCAGAUCAGUACUACAGAGUACUAUAUAGUUCAGAGCUACAGAGUACUAUACAGAUCAGUACUACAGAGUACUAUACAGUUGAGAGUACAAAUUAUGUACUACGGAUUAAGAGCCCUCUUCAAUCUGGAAAGCUGAAGAGAUUCCGCGGUAGUCUCCCGGUUGAGUCUACGACAUCUGCAGCGUUUACCGGGAGUGAAGUCUCCCGGUUUCAGCCUACGACAUCUGCAGCGUUUACCGGGAGUGAAGUCUCCCGGUUUCAGCCUACGACAUCUGCAGCGUUUACCGGGAGUGAAGUCUCCCGGUUUCAGCCUACUACAUGUGCAGCGUUUACCGGGAGUGAAGUCUUCCGGUUUCAGCCUACUACAUCUGCAGCGUUUAACAGCAGUGAAGUCUCCCGGUUUCAGCCUACUACAUGUGCAGCGUUUACCGGGAGUGAAGUCUCCCGGUUUCAGCCUACUACAUGUGCAGCGUUUAACAGCAGUGAAGUCUCCCGGUUUCAGCCUACUACAUGUGCAGCGUUUACCGGGAGUGAAGUCUUCCGGUAAAGCGGGAUCGUUGUGUUUAUAUUUCAAUCCCGCUGCAAAGCUGGACUUCGACGAUGCUGAUUGAAUAGAGCCUUUAAUAAGAAGGUAUUUGACCAGUUCUCUAACAGAAAGAGACAGGCAGUGAAUGGGAACAUGAUGGUUAUUAAAAUACUUAAGACUGUGGACAAGCGUUUUGAAUGAACCCGAGGAUGAGACGUUAUUGAAGUCGUAUAACACCUUGACAUAAAAGUCAGGAAAUAACAGUGGCACGCUAGCUACAGGUAACUGCCAAAACAAAGGAAAAACACAUGAGGAAAUGAGGGAUACAAAAAUAUAUUGAAAGCAGAUGCUUCAACACAGGUGUUGUAACCCAAAAUUAAUUAAGCAAUUAACAUCCCAUCAUGCUUAGGGUCAAGCAAAAAAAAAAAAAUAAUGCUGAGCAGGACAUUAUUUUGGUUACCACGACAACCCCCCCCCCCCCAUCCCCAUCCCCAUCCACAGGGCUUGAGAGGUCACCGAAUGGUUUAGUGAGCAUUUUACAAAAAAAACGAUAAAACCCAAAGACCACGACCAUCUCAGGUCACCAGAUCUCAACCCAAAUUGAACACUUACGGGAGAGUCUGGAGCGGUGCCUGAGAAAACGUUUUUCCCGCCGCCACCAUCAUCAUCAUCAUCAUCAUCAUCAUCAAAACACCAAAAUAAUGGAAUUUCUCGUGGAAGAAGAAUGGUGUCUCAUCCCUCCAAUAGAGUUCAAGACACUUGUAGAAUCUACCCUCGAGGUGCAUUGAAGCUGUUCUGGGUCGUGGUGACCCUAUUAACACCCAAUGUUAGUGUUUCCUUUUACUUUGGCAGUUACCUGGAUCUUCAGCUAGUAAAAUAUAUACUGUCGAACGCUAUAUAUAUGGGGGACGGAUGACAAUCAACCAAACUGAAGCUACGGGGGGGGAGGGGUCUGAAGAAAACAUUUAUCCAACCUAAUGAGUCUUCUGAUGGACCACAUGGGGGGGGGGGGGGAAUCAUAGUAGCCUUGUUCCGGUGGCCGUAAUCAUAAAACAGUAGGAGUGCUGAUCUAGGAAUCAGGGUCCCUCUUGUCCAUGUAGUCAAUGGGGUGGCAGGUAGCCUAGUGGUUAGAGCGUUGGGCCAGUAACCGAAAGGUUUCUGGAUCGAAUCCCCGAGCUGACGAGGUAAAAAAGAAAAUAAAAAUCUGUGGUUCUGCCCCCUGAACAAGGCAGUUAACCCACUGUUCCUCGGUAGGCCGUCGUUGUAAAUAACAAUUUGUUCUUAACCGACUUGCCUGGUAAAUUUUUUUUUUAAAUCCCCUAUGAUUCUUAAAGGCAAAACUGAUCCCCGAUCAGCACUUCUACUCUGUAAUGCAUUCUGUGCCGUCUUGCCAACUCCUACAGUCAUUGUCACGCCAGCACAAACAGAUAGAGCCCGAGUGCCAGUCUGUUUGUGACAACUUUUUGCCACGCAAGUUGGCAAAACAGCACAAACAGAACGAUAACAGUUAUUCUCUCCUCUCUACCACUGAGAGGAACACAAAGCCAAAACAAAAUUCACUCAGUAAAUUAAUUGUACAAAUAUAAAAUACAAUAUUAUCAUCAUCAACAACAACAAAAGUUAAAUCCAGGUAGACUAAUUAUUCCGAAGUCCUCCAGUCUGUUCCUGAUACACCUCGAUGACGUCCUCGUCUUCCAUCCCCAGCUACAGUAGAGACAGAGAGACAGAGAGAGACAGACAGAGAGAGACAGACAGACAGAGAGAGACAGAGAGAGAGACAGAGAGAGAGAGAGACAGAUAGAGAGACAGAGAGAGAGACAGAGAGAGAGACAGAGAGAGAGACAGAGAGAGAGAGACAGAGAGAGAGAGACAGA